GCCUUUGCGGUGUAAUGGUAGCACACUAGGCGCGUAUUCCAGAAGUCCAGAUUCGAGUCCCGGCGAGGGCA
rnacentral:tRNA from 1 species